rnacentral:rRNA from 1 species
CCAGACUCCUACGGGAGGCAGCAGUGGGGAAUAUUGCACAAUGGGGGAAACCCUGAUGCAGCGACGCCGCGUGAGUGAAGAAGUAUUUCGGUAUGUAAAGCUCUAUCAGCAGGGAAGAAAAUGACGGUACCUGAAUAAGAAGCCCCGGCUAACUACGUGCCAGCAGCCGCGGUAAUACGGAGGAUGCGAGCGUUAUCCGGAUUUAUUGGGUUUAAAGGGUGCGCAGGCGGCACGGCAAGCCGGCGGUCAAAUCGCGGGGCUCAACCCCGCCCAGCCGUCGGAACUGCCGGGCUAGAGUGGGCGAGAAGUAUGCGGAAUGCGUGGUGUAGCGGUGAAAUGCAUAGAUAUCACGCAGAACUCCGAUUGCGAAGGCAGCAUACCGGCGCGCAACUGACGCUCAUGCACGAAAGCGUGGGGAUCGAACAGGAUUAGAUACCCGUGUAUAC